rnacentral:tRNA from 1 species
CGCGGGAUAGCGCAGCGGUAGAGCGUCGGACUCAUAAUCCGAAGGUCGGGGGUUCGAGUCCCUCUCCCGCAA